UACGUAGGUCCCGAGCGUUGUCCGGAUUUAUUGGGCGUAAAGCGAGCGCAGGUGGUUUAUUAAGUCUGGUGUAAAAGGCAGUGGCCCAACCAUUGUAUGCAUUGGAAACUGGUAGACUUGAGUGCAGGAGAGGAGAGUGGAAUUCCAUGUGUAGCGGUGAAAUGCGUAGAUAUAUGGAGGAACACCGGUGGCGAAAGCGGCUCUCUGGCCUGUAACUGACACUGAGGCUCGAAAGCGUGGGGAGCAAACGGG
rnacentral:rRNA from 1 species